rnacentral:rRNA from 1 species
CUCAUUAAAUCAGUUAUCGUUUAUUUGAUAGUACCUUACUACUUGGAUAACCGUGGUAAUUCUAGAGCUAAUACAUGCUAAAAACCCCGACUUCGGAAGGGGUGUAUUUAUUAGACAAAAAACCAAUGCCCUUCGGGGCUCCUUGGUGAAUCAUGAUAACUUAACGAAUCGCAUGGCCUUGAGCCGGCGAUGGUUCAUUCAAAUUUCUGCCCUAUCAACUUUCGAUGGUAGGAUAGUGGCCUACCAUGGUAUCAACGGGUAACGGGGAAUUAGGGUUCUAUUCCGGAGAGGGAGCCUGAGAAACGGCUACCACAUCCAAGGAAGGCAGCAGGCGCGCAAAUUACCCAAUCCCGACACGGGGAGGUAGUGACAAUAAAUACUGAUACAGGGCUCUUUUGGGUCUUGUAAUUGGAAUGAGUACAAUUUAAAUACCUUAACGAGGAACAAUUGGAGGGCAAGUCUGGUGCCAGCAGCCGCGGUAAUUCCAGCUCCAAUAGCGUAUAUUAAAGUUGUUGCAGUUAAAAAGCUCGUAGUUGAACCUUGGGCCUGGCUGGCCGGUCCGCCUCACCGCGUGCACUGGUCCGGCCGGGCCUUUCCUUCUGGGGAUCCCCAUGCCCUUCACUGGGUGUGGCGGGGAACCAGGACUUUUACUUUGAAAAAAUUAGAGUGUUCAAAGCAGGCCUUUGCUCGAAUACAUUAGCAUGGAAUAAUAGAAUAGGACGUGCGGUCCUAUUUUGUUGGUUUCUAGGACCGCCGUAAUGAUUAAUAGGGAUAGUCGGGGGCAUCAGUAUUCAAUUGUCAGAGGUGAAAUUCUUGGAUUUAUUGAAGACUAACUACUGCGAAAGCAUUUGCCAAGGAUGUUUUCAUUAAUCAGUGAACGAAAGUUAGGGGAUCGAAGACGAUCAGAUACCGUCGUAGUCUUAACCGUAAACUAUGCCGACUAGGGAUCGGGCGAUGUUAUUAUUUUGACUCGCUCGGCACCUUACGAGAAAUCAAAGUCU